rnacentral:misc_RNA from 1 species
UUUCCGUAGGUGAACCUGCGGAAGGAUCAUUAAAGUUAUAGUCCCCUGGCCCUCUGGGCUGGGGUCUUCUAUACCACCCUUUGUUUAUUACACCUUUGUUGCUUUGGCAGGCCUGCCCUCGGGCUGCUGGCUCCGGCCGGCUCGCGUCUGCCCGAGGACCUAAACUCUGUUUGUAUAUGAAGUCUGAGUACUAUAUAAUAGUUAAAACUUUCAACAACGGAUCUCUUGGUUCUG